GCCCGCUUGGCCCAGUGGUAAGGCGUCUCACUCGUAUGUUUCCAGCCGCACGGCUGCUUACAUAAUCAUGAGAAGAUCAGUUGUUCGAGUCAGCUAGUGGGCA